AACGCACAUUGCGCCCCUCGGCAUUCCGGAGGGCAUGCCUGUCCGAGCGUCGUUAAAACCAAUCAAGCGAAGCGCUUGGCGAUGGGCGAACGCCCGGUCUAAUCCACCGGACUGGCCCCAAAACCGUCGGCAGAGCCAAGUGAGCGGCCGGGCGUAGCAGAAUCUACGACGUCCGAACCCUCCCUUCUCGCGCCGCCCGCCCCGUGGGGACCUGCGCACAGGCACCCAUGCGGACACGCCAUCUAAAGGUCGACCUCGGAUCAGGUAGGGAUACCCGCUGAACUUAA
rnacentral:misc_RNA from 1 species